rnacentral:rRNA from 1 species
AGUGAACGCUGGCGGUAGGCCUAACACAUGCAAGUCGAACGGCAGCACAGUAAGAGCUUGCUCUUACGGGUGGCGAGUGGCGGACGGGUGAGGAAUACAUCGGAAUCUACUUUUUCGUGGGGGAUAACGUAGGGAAACUUACGCUAAUACCGCAUACGACCUACGGGUGAAAGCAGGGGAUCUUCGGACCUUGCGCGAUUGAAUGAGCCGAUGUCGGAUUAGCUAGUUGGCGGGGUAAAGGCCCACCAAGGCGACGAUCCGUAGCUGGUCUGAGAGGAUGAUCAGCCACACUGGAACUGAGAUACGGUCCAGACUCCUUCGGGAGGCAGCAGUGGGGAAUAUUGGACAAAGGGCGCAAGCCUGAUCCAGCCAUACCGCGUGGGUGAAGAAGGCCUUCGGGUUGUAAAGCCCUUUUGUUGGGAAAGAAAAGCAGCAGGUUAAUACCCCGCUGUUCUGACGGUACCCAAAGAAUAAGCACCGGCUAACUUCGUG